GCCGGGCUAGCUCAAUCGGUAGAGCGUGUGACUCUUAUUUCGAUUGUCAUCGUGCAAUCACAAGGUUGCGGGUUCGACCCCCGCGUUCGGCU